AGUGAGCAAGCCGUGGCCUCUGUCGAUUCCUGUAGCUUUGAUUGCAGAAGCCUCCAUCUAAGCACAUUUAUUGUAGUGUCUUUUGCAGUGACUCAGUGCAAUUCCUCUGUGCCACCCAGCCCAUAACAGACAUGCAGCUGGCAGUGCAAAUGCUGCCCAAAAGGCCUUCCUACCUUCAAAACCGGUCCUCUGUCCUUCCCUCAUCAUGGCUGAGGAGUGCUGGUUCUUCUUAGCUUAGCUUUUUCCCCCCUCAUUCCCCCCAUUUAUCUGCAUUUUUUGCCCUUUUUCUUCUUCCAGGCUUAUCUUGAUCACAACUACUGUGGCCUGCUUUAUAUGGCAGCAGGUCAGGAUAGGGAGCCUGGCAAAAUGUGCUGCUGAAGAGAGAGAGGAGAGAUGAAGGUAAUGCUUGUCUCAGCCCAGGUCUGGUGCGUUCAGACUGGCAGGAUCUUCCUGGGCCAUCCAAUUACAGUUUCUGUUGACACUUUUCAGCUCUUGCAUCCAGCUUGCUGACAGAGGAUGUUGGUUUGUGGGGCCUGGCAGCGAGAGUUUUCCGAAGAGGAGCUCUAAGGCCAGCUGCAAGGGUCACGUGAAACUGUCUGAUUUUGGGCUAAGCAGAGCUGUUCAGGAGGCUCAGAGACCUGAGCUCUCCAGGAACCUUGAACCCAGGCAGCCAGUGCCUUCUGUGAGUACAAGCUGUCCUUGUUCAACAGGGAAAUAGCUGAGAGCUGAAGCCAGCCCACACCAUAAUUCC